rnacentral:rRNA from 1 species
ACGGACUCUUCGGAGUGAGUGGCGGACGGGUGAGUAUCGCGUAGGGAUCUAUCCACGGGUGGGGGAUAACACUGGGAAACUGGUGCUAAUACCGCAUGAUACCUGAGGGUCAAAGGCGCAAGUCGCCUGUGGAGGAGCCUGCGUUCGAUUAGCUUGUUGGUGGGGUAAAGGCCUACCAAGGCGAAGAUCCAUAGCUGAUCUGAGAGGAUGAUCAGCCACACUGGGACUGAGACACGGCCCAA